AUACGGAGGGUGCAAGCGUUAAUCGGAAUUACUGGGCGUAAAGCGCGCGUAGGCGGUUAAAUAAGUUGGAUGUGAAAUCCCCGGGCUCAACCUGGGAACUGCAUUCAAAACUGUUUAACUAGAGUAUGGUAGAGGGAAGUGGAAUUCCAGGUGUAGCGGUGAAAUGCGUAGAUAUCUGGAGGAACAUCAGUGGCGAAGGCGACUUCCUGGAUCAAUACUGACGCUGAGGUGCGAAAGCGUGGGGAGCAAACAGGAUUAGAAACCCCAGUAGUCC
rnacentral:rRNA from 1 species